rnacentral:rRNA from 1 species
CACACCGCCCGUCACACCACGAAAGCCCGUUGUACCUGAAGUCGCCCGCGCCAACCUGCAAGGGAGGCAGGCGCCCACGGUAUGGCUGGUGAUUGGGGUGAAGUCGUAACAAGGUACCC